AUUGAACGCUGGCGGCAGGCCUAACACAUGCAAGUCGAACGGUAACAGGAAGAAGCUUGCUUCUUUGCUGACGAGUGGCGGACGGGUGAGUAAUGUCUUGGAAACUGCCUGAUGGAGGGGGAUAACUACUGGAAACGGUAGCUAAUACCGCAUAACGUCGCAAGACCAAAGAGGGGGACCUUCGGGCCUCUUGCCAUCGGAUGUGCCCAGAUGGGAUUAGCUAGUAGGUGGGGUAACGGCUCACCUAGGCGACGAUCCCUAGCUGGUCUGAGAGGAUGACCAGCCACACUGGAACUGAGACACGGUCCAGACUCCUACGGGAGGAAGCAGUGGGGAAUAUUGCACAAUGGGCGCAAGCCUGAUGCAGCCAUGCCGCGUGUAUGAAGAAGGCCUUCGGGUUGUAAAGUACUUUCAGCGGGGAGGAAGGGAGUAAAGUUAAUACCUUUGCUCUUUGACGUUACCCGCAGAAGAAGCACCGGCUAACUCCGUG
rnacentral:rRNA from 1 species